GCAGCGCCUCCUACUCCCUUCACUGGAAAAAGAAUCGACACCUUUCCGAUGAAUCGUCGCGUCUCUGCAUCGCCGGAGCGACACCGGCUCCGCCUCCCUUCUCCGAUUCGCACACUUUCCCAAAAUUCGUAUAUUUCCUAAAUUGAAGAAGCGAGCAGCGUCUACUCCCUCCUCUCGUUUCGUUCCUCCCCGGUGAAGUUGCCGACAAGGGAAAGGCGUCGCCUUUCUUCUUCCGUCUCUUUCUCCGUCGCGCGUGGAAGUUCCGGGGUCGCCAUCGCGCCUAUGCCGUCAGCCUCGGCGAGCAGCGCCGCUUGUCUCCGCCGUCGGCCUCACGCCGGCGUUUUCUCCAUGCCGGGCAGUCCGUCGUCUAAGAUAAGUCCCUUUCCCCUAACCCCUUUAAUUAUUCCGUAAAUCUGGAGUUCUCGGUUGAUGCUCGAUUCAACAUCUUGGGUGUUCUUAGUCACUAGGAUGAGCUUAAUAUUUUGCAAUUAGUCAUUGGCUUUGAUGCAAAAGAUCACUAAUUAUGAAGCUUAGGGCAGCAACUAAAUUGAUGAAGCCUUGAUGUCUUAACUUGCACAUGAGACCUACUGUGUUGAUAUUGCUAAGUUCGCAUUUUGAUUCUUGAGCAUCUAUGGUUCUAAGUUCUUGACUAUCUAUUGGGGUUGGUUUAUAUGAUGUAAAGCAUGAUGUUGGGUGUUGAGGCAAUUACCUAUUGAAGCUGCGGCUGCUUUGAGAAUUCAGCUCUUAAAACCUCAUCUUUCUUCCACUCAAACUUGCUGUGUUGCUGGAAAAAUUUGAAGGGGUGCAGGUGGUUGCUUGAUUCAGGCAGAUUUGGUGCAGCUGCCAUUUUGGGAUCAUUUUGACCUCCUUUGAUAAAGUUGUACCCAUAGGAGAAAGAGUUAUUGGGCUGUUAUUGGGCUGACCUUCGGGCCGACGGGCCAAACUCUCGGGCUGCGCAAGGUGUGACUCGGGCUUAAGAAGAGAGGCCCAACAUUUGCAUAUUUGUAUUCUUUAAUUCUUUCUCAUCAACACGUGUGUAAAUUAUUUUGUAACUAGAGAGUAGCUUGAUAUGUAUUCGAACUUUCUGGAUCAGCAAAGUAACCUCGUAUUCUUUCUUGACGUUUAUUAUAUUUAAUUUAAUAC